AGAGUUUGAUCAUGGCUCAGGAUGAACGCUGGCGGCGUGCCUAACACAUGCAAGUCGAACGGGUGUGGUAUCAGGGAAAAGGGGUUUACUUCUUUGACCAGAUAACACACUAGUGGCGGACGGGUGAGUAACGCGUGGAUAACCUGCCUUAUACAGGGGGAUAACAGGGAGAAAUUCUUGCUAAUACCCCAUAGGUAUGUCUGACGCAUGUUGGACAUAUUAAAGCUUUGGCGGUAUAAGAUGGGUCCGCGUCUGAUUAGCUAGUUGGUGGGGUAAAGGCCCACCAAGGCGACGAUCAGUAGCCGGCUUGAGAGAGUGGACGGCCACAUUGGGACUGAGACACGGCCCAAACUCCUACGGGAGGCAGCAGUGGGGAAUAUUGCACAAUGGGGGAAACCCUGAUGCAGCGACGCCGCGUGAAGGAAGAAGGUCUUCGGAUCGUAAACUUCUAUCAGCAGGGAAGAAGGAAGUGACAGUACCUGAGUAAGAAGCCCCGGCUAACUACGUGCCAGCAGCCGCGGUAAUACGUAGGGGGCGAGCGUUAUCCGGAAUUACUGGGUGUAAAGGGUGCGUAGGCGGUAUGGCAAGUCAGUUGUGAAACCCCCUGGCUCAACCAGGGGCUUGCAAUUGAAACUGUCAUACUAGAGUGCAGGAGAGGAAAGCGGAAUUCCUAGUGUAGCGGUGAAAUGCGUAGAUAUUAGGAAGAACACCAGUGGCGAAGGCGGCUUUCUGGACUGUAACAGACGCUGAGGCACGAAAGCGUGGGGAGCGAACAGGAUUAGAUACCCUGGUAGUCCACGCCGUAAACGAUGAGUGCUAGGUGUUGGGGUCUAAUUAGAUCUCGGUGCUGA
rnacentral:rRNA from 1 species